GUGACGGCGCGAGCUGGCUGUUCCAGAUCCAAAACACUCUCUGCAAGUUUCAGUCGGCCGGCACGUAUAUCUUACAGCCAUAUGGAUGUCCUUGCUGCAACUGGGAAGCUUCAUGUCAGCUAACAAGGAGGAUUCUAGCGUUUGGGAGCAGACAUGCACAGGCCAUGAUAAACGAACAUGGAAAGUGAAUCACCUGAAUUAGGUGGACAAGUCCAUGAAAUUGAUCUGGUGAUCGAUUCCCUUCAAAGGGGAAGGGUUGUGUAAGAAUCUAAAUGUUAGUAUGAGAAGGGAUAAAGAGGAGAGCUGUUACCAUCUGGAGGCAAAAGAGGUGAAAAAAAUCGCUGAUGCUUUCGGUUCAGGAAUCAUAUGACUGCUACAGUUUGAACCCUAUUGAAAAAAUCAGCCAUCAUACCAGACCCCAAGAAACCCUGUCCUUCAGAACUCAACCACUAACCCUAACCGACCAGUUGCCCUCACCUCCAUAAUUAUGAACUGCCUGGAGAAACUGGUGCUGAAUAUCAUCCUGCCAGUUGUCAACCCUCACUUGGACCCCCACCAAUCUGCCUACAAGGCCAAGCAGGGAAUAGAGGAUUCUGUGGCAUGUCUCCUCCACUCCCUGUUACAGCAUCUAGACACACCGGAUAACUUUGCCAGAAUUCUUUUAUUGACUUUCGGCUCUGCAUUCAAAACAAUCCAGCACCACUCGAUGAUCAAUAAACUCCACUCUCAGUGUCCCUCUAGUCCUCAUCCACUGGUUUCACAGUUUCCUGAGCAACAGGCCAGAAACAGCCCUACGUGAGGAUCUCAGGCUGUGCUCUGGCUCAUACGGGGUUAAGGUCUGAGAUGUACCUGUGGCAGGGCCUUGGGGAGCUUUUAAAUGUAUCAGUGAAAGCUUAAGGUCAGUUUUAAAAUUCUAGGCUAUCCGAACACGAGUACUGUGAUCCGUUGUCUUACUGUUCAAAGUCUUUCUGAAGCAUCUGAUUGAAAACCGCUGACCCUCAACCACUUCUGUCUUAGCUAUUAAGGUUAAUUUAUACCUCUGAAUCAAAAUGCUGCUGUAGCUGUGCUGUUAGUGUGUGGCUCCUUUCUAAUUUACAUACACCUCUCCCAAAAUGUAACUGAAGAAUCUCUGAAAACAUUGUUCAAAAGCACAAAAUAUUAAAUAAACAUACAGAAGUUUCAGUAACUGUUUGCCUCUGAAGUAAGUUAUCAUACUUUAAAUAGGAGAACCUGCAAGGAGUAGGAGUAUCUCUACACUGAUUUUAAUUGCAUUUCCCAGUAUGCUAAUGUAGUAGUGUCUGGGACUGAAAUUUUUUGAAGUAACCCAACAUUGUAUACGCUCUGACUAUUAUGAUAUAAUCCUUCCUUGCAAUAAAUCAUCUUAAGUGUUUACGUGAGGUUGUUGAGAUUUGCACAAAAGUAUAACCCCCCUUAGUCCAUAUGCUCACUUCAUGAGUUACUACUCUCCAAAGCAUUAACAAAGGAUGUAUUGUAUUGAAUAGCAGAAUCAUUGAACAAAUAAAACAAGCUGU